CCUACGGGAGGCAGCAGUGGGGAAUAUUGCGCAAUGGGCGAACGCCUGACGCAGCGACGCCGCGUGAGGGAUGAAGGUCUUCGGAUCGUAAACCUCUGUCAGCAGGGAAGAACGGUCACUGUGCUAAUCAGCAGUGAAUUGACGGUACCUGCAAAGGAAGCACCGGCUAACUCCGUGCCAGCAGCCGCGGUAAUACGGCGGGUGCGAGCGUUGAUCGGAAUUACUGGGCGUAAAGCGCUCGUAGGCGGUAUGUCAAGUCAAGGGUGAAAUCCCCGCGCUCAACGUGGGAACUGCCUUUGAAACUGGCAAACUGGGGUGUGUGAGAGGAUAGUGGAAUUCCAGGUGUAGGAGUGAAAUCCGGAGAUAUCUGGAGGAACAUCAGUGGCGAAGGCGACUAUCUGGCACAUAACUGACGCUGAGGAGCGAAAGCGUGGGUAGCAAACAGGAUUAGAUACCCUAGUAGUC
rnacentral:rRNA from 1 species